GAUGAACGCUGGCGGCGGGCCUAACACAUGCAAGUCGAACGGAAAGACAAUGAGAUUGUGCUUUUACCGUUGGCGGCGGGCGGGCGAGUAACGCGUGGAUCAGCUACUUCUAUUUCGUGGAGAACAACGUAAAACCGGUUACAAUACUACAGAAUAUGACGUACCGCUGGGAGCAGGAGAGAAUGAGGGCUUUGCUGUCUGUAUUAGCUGGUUCCGCGCCGGAUUAGCUAGUUGGUAAGGUAACGGCCUACCAAGGCGACGAUGCGUAGCCGAGCUGAGAGGGUGAUCGGCCACACUGGAACUGAGACACGGUCCAGACUCCUACGGGAGGCAGCAGUGGGGAAUAUUCGGCAAUGGGCGCAAGCCUGACGCAGCAAUGCCGCGUGAGUGAUGAAGGCCUUCGGGUCGUAAAGCCCUGUUAUUGGGGAAGAACAGCUGUGGAAUAAAACGUCGCUGUUCUGACGGUACCUAAUCAAAAAGCACCGGCUAACUACGUG
rnacentral:rRNA from 1 species